UACAUGUGGGGGCAAGCGUUGUUCGGAAUUACUGGGCAUAAAGGGUGCGUAGGCGGCUUGUUAAGUCAGGGGUGAAAGUUUUCGGCCCAACCGGAAAAUGGCCUUUGAUACUGGCGAGCUUGAGUGCGUGAGGGGUAACCGGAACGAGCAGUGUAGCGGUGAAAUGCGUAGAUAUUGCUCGGAAGGCCAACGGCGAAGGCAGGUUACUGGUACGCAACUGACGCUGAGGCACGAAAGCGUGGGGAGCGAACAGG
rnacentral:rRNA from 1 species